rnacentral:rRNA from 1 species
UACGUAGGGUGCAAGCGUUGUCCGGAAUUAUUGGGCGUAAAGAGCUCGUAGGCGGUUUGUUGCGUCGGCUGUGAAAACCUGAGGCUCAACCUCAGGCCUGCAGUCGAUACGAGCAGACUAGAGUGUUGCAGGGGAGACUGGAAUUCCUGGUGUAGCGGUGAAAUGCGUAGAUAUCGGAAGGAACAUCAGUGGCGAAGGCGGCUAUCUGGACAACAACUGACACUGAGGCACGAAAGCGUGGGGAGCAAACAGG